CUCAUAUGCUCUGGAUUAUCUCCCACACAACCUAAACAAGACCAUGCCUGAAUUUGCUAGAGUUGCUUCAGAUGGUGUAGUUCUUUUUGCAGGUCUCCUGGUCAAGCAAAAGAGUAAAGUUGCUGAAUUUUCUAAAUUCGGGCGUCCCGCUAAAAUGUGUAGCACAUCAUGGUGGGACCGAUUCUAUAACCAGACAAGUUAGAAGAAAGACGCACCAAGCAAGAAGUUUGAACAAGUCUUUCACCUCAAGCCAUUGCAUUAGUCAGCCACCACUAAUCCAAACUAAAGCAUAUUCACACGUAAGGAAUUAAAUAGAUAAUUGUUAUUCUCCUUUGUAUUUUGCAACAAAGUCUUUGUCCUUUGUAUCUAUGAACACCAUUUUUCAUAUU